AGCUUUGUGCAGUGGCAGUAUCGUAGCCAAUGAGGUUUAUCUGAGGUGCGAUUAUUGCUAAUUGAAAACUUUUCCCAAUACCCCGCCGUGACGACUUGCAAUACAGUUGGCACUGGCAAUUUUUGACAGUCUCUACGGAGA
ensembl:snRNA U4 U4 spliceosomal RNA